UCAAUUCAUUCCACUCGCACCUAACACGCUUUCAGGGCAUUUAAAAUUCUGCUCAAAGCUCGGCCCAGGCCCUUCAGCCUUCCAGGUUGUUUUAGUGCCAUUUGUGCGUUAUUUUUAUAAAGUUACCUCAUGAAUUAUUCAUAAACGAAGCAGACGUAGCGUAAAUUUUUCCUUCUCUCUAGGAAAACACUCGAGAGAUGGAAGGACAAGUUUUCUGGAGGAAACCUUUAGCAAAUACGAAAAUCUGAUUAAAUUAUGGCAAAGUUUCUAAUUGGUUUGUUAUUAAGACAGCGAUUACCAUAAAUUACAAUUGAAAUGGGGAAAGCAUUCUGCUCCGUCCCGUCCCGUCCCGUUCCGUUCUGUUCUGUUCUAGAACAAAUGGCUAAGCAAAUUAACUCUGGCCAUGAAAUGAACAAUACAGAGAGCUCUUGGCUCAUGUUUAAUGCACUUGACAGUGCCAGACCCCCGGUUCCUGGUUGCUGGUCGGGAAAACUUCAAGGCAACCCCCAAAAGUUAUGACUUUUACGCCCCAUUAUCGCUUAAAUAAUUUAGUCGGCCAAAGGAAACGAAAACAACACGAAAAAAAGGGAAAAUUGCUAGGAAAAAAAACCCAAGAAAAAAUCUCUCAUAACUUGUGGUCUUUCCAGAGAGACAGAGUGAGAGAGAAGAAAAAGAGUAAACGGGGAAAAAGGCCUGCAUUUAUAAAGAGCCAAAUUAACCGCAAUUAGAUUUUUGGAAAAGCGCGGUCAGAGGAAAAUUACAAUUAACCGUUUUCAGCAUGUGAAAUCUGAAUAAUCAAGUGGCAAGAAGAAAGCCCCGUCGAAGGGAUUGACGCAGCAGCAACGGGUCGGCGCGCCGACACAAGCGGUGGCAAACAAGGUACAGUGCAAACACGCUGACACCCUUGCCCGCCUCCCUUCACGAAAAGGGUUCGCUAAUUAAAAAAAUAGAAUGUUUUUCGACCUUUAAAGAUGCUGGCAGGACCCCACCUCCUGCUCCGUCUCGUUAACAUCUUCGGAAUGGGAUGGAUUCCUGUGAUGCAUGGCCAUGAAGUGUGAAAAAUUCAGCCUCAUUUUUAAAUAGACGCUCCACCAUUAUUUCAUUUUUCUACUCUGCAGAGUUUUGACUUGCGGAGUGGGGCACGGAAAAGGAAAAGGGGCACCGUCUGCCAUUUAUUUGGCUCUUUUCUAGAAAUUAAUUAAACACUCGCAAGAGGUUGAGGGGGCUGAAGGUCAGACGGGCGGCGAGGCGCGUGGAAAUUGUUUCCUUUUUCAUGCACUGGAAGUGCCAACAAUUAGAAGCCCUCGAGAAAACCCAGACCCUGGCCAAAACGGAUGUUUGGCCAAGACGCAAGAGAAAAGAAAAAAACGAAAAGGCGAAGGCGAAACUGAAAUAGAAAUAUAAAUAGAAAUUUCCUGCAAAACGUUAACUAACUGAAGGCUGGAAGGCUUUCCGGCUGAACCCCACCACCCCUCCACACUCCUAUUGAAAGUCAUACAAUUACGCGAUUUAAUAAAGUUUCAGCCAGAGCAAAACUCCGCGCAUAAAAUUAAACAAUUAAGCAAAUAGUUGCGGAAACUUCAAGGCGAAUGCCAAUGCAGUUGACGCCAAAGGGGAAACUGCUGCUGCGCGUUGGUCAAGAUACAAAUGGAUACCCAGUUGUGUCUUAAAGCCAGAGCCAAAGAGUCUAAGGACUAUGGACCAGCUAUUUCCAGCUGCUUAGGCGACUUGAUUUGAUUAGUCAAUUAUCAGUUCAUUAGUUGUCAAUCGGGCAGGGACUCAGAGCGUGUCAGUGGCUCAAUAUCUUCACACUUUGUCACCCAAUAAUCCAAUCUUAAAUCAUUUUCAUUGCGCUCCCCUCCCCACCGCGCCCCACAGCUCGUGUAUAAAUUGGAUAUCCAUUCGCAGGGCCACGCCCACACAAUGUCCAGUGGCAGAGGCGUAUAAAAAACAUGGCCAGCAUGAGAUAGGACCAUCGGCCAUAAAUAAAGAUCCCGACCCGCCCGGCCUUCUGCUGCUAUGCGAGUAUUCGGUUGUAUUCUCGUGUAUUUUUAAUGCCACAAUUAAAUGCAAAUACAAUACAGCGAGAGGGGAGGAAAAGGCAAAAAAAAGUAGGGAACGAAACUCAGCUGCUGGCUCCGGGUCUGUUCCUGGUCCUCGGCUCUCGACUGACAACGGGCCCAAUGUUGAAGGAUGGCCCAGGGACAGCUGAAGGACAGCCAGACGAGAGAAUGGACGGACUCUUCCUAUCAACAGCUUUUUUUCCUGCCUUGUUUUUACUGCACUUUUUUUUCGUCUUGUUUCUGGCAGGGAAAAUAUUUUUGAUGCCGACAACAAAAAAAUACAGCACGAAGCAGCAGCAAGCAACAGCCUGCAGAAAAUAUAUAGACAAGUGCCACGCCCCCUUAACCGACACCAGGAACACAGCCGCAACUACAACUACAACUCCAACAAUGGUGUAAAGUAACUGGAAGCCAAGAGGGAAAAACGAUGAGAAAAGGACUGCUGAGAGGUCCUUUUAUGGUUAAGUGAAAUUCCCCUACGCACACACACAUCCACGCACCGGGAGAAACACAAAUGAGAUAUUCACUUAAAUUUAAUUUCAAUUAUUUUUAUGAAAGCAUAUUUUAAUUCUCUUUAUUGGCAAUUUUCGUUGAGCAGCAGACAACAAGAACACCAAUAAGGGGAAAAAAAAGGGGAAAUAAAAUGUUAAACAUUAAAUGCUGCCCCUCGCAGGGUCCUCGCCCUCCACCAUCCAUGGCUUGUGGUGGAUCCAGGCGGAUGGUAAAGUAUUUUUGAAUAAUAAUAAUGUGAUUUUCGUUGAGAAGGAAAUUGUACUCUCCACGUAAUUAGUAUGCUUUUGUGAAUUGCAUAAUGGGAAGCCAUUAAAAGUUCAUUUGCGCCUAGGAAUGAAUGUCAAAUGAUUCUGGGAAUCAACUGUUCUGAAUCGGAAAUGAGAAUAUGAUGAAUUGUGGCAGGGAGAGGAGAGAUCUGUUCCUUGGGCAUCACUGAUUUCAAUUGGAGUGAGUGCACGUCACAAAAGUGCCGUACUUUCAUUGAUAGUUCUCUAUAGAAAAUGCUGAACAAAUAUUCAAUAUAAAUGAUAUGGCAGUACCUCUGUUUCCCUUUCAAUCUCUGGGAGAGUCACUGUCUGGCCGGGGUAAUGGCUCAUCUUUUUUGGUUCGGUUGAGCAACAGAAAAGAAAAGCAGGAAAUAACAAAAUAUAUAUUUUCUUUCUCUUUCUCUUUUCUUUUUUUUUUCUUCUUCUGUACAGCCUGUUUUGGUAUUU